rnacentral:rRNA from 1 species
UACGGAGGGGGCGAGCGUUAUUCGGAAUUAUUGGGCGUAAAGGGCGCGUAGGCGGCCCGGUAAGUCAAAGGUGAAAUCCCUCGGCUCAACUGAGGAACUGCCUUUGAAACUGUCGGGCUUGAGGCCGGGAGAGGGUAGUGGAAUUCCCAGUGUAGCGGUGAAAUGCGUAGAUAUUGGGAGGAACACCAGUGGCGAAGGCGGCUACCUGGACCGGUUCUGACGCUGAGGCGCGAAAGCGUGGGUAG